rnacentral:hammerhead_ribozyme from 1 species
ACCCAGCUGACGAGUCCCGAAUGGGACGAAACGCAAGUCCUGGAU